CAGGACAAUGUGGUGUUUAGGUUUGUACCUGGGAGCGCUGGCCUACUCGAAGUCCAACUCCGAUUAUGGCUAGGACCAUGCCCAGAGCGGGUGAAAGUCCCGUUCGGGUAGGUUGAUUGCAAUAUGGAGCGCUCCUCAGAUGUACUUACCUUCGAGUCGGAUUGCUUGAGAAUGCAGUCCAAAGUGGGUGGUAAACUCCAUCCAAGGCUAAAUACUGGCACGAGUCCGAUAGUAGACAAGUACCGUGAGGGAAAGUUGAAAAGUACUCUGAAGAGAGAGUAAAUAGCACGUGAAGCCGCUUGCAGGGAAGCUGGUGGAGUCAAGCUUCAUGUUUGGAGGAUUGUCAUCAGGGCCAUCAUUGUUGUUUGGGAUGUGAUACUGAUAAGCCUGGAAAGGGUUUGGCGUGCUUCGGUGCGUUUCAAGUCAUUCUGGGUAGAGUGUUUGUGUCGGUAUCUAUCUCCCUGGUCCUGGUGCCUUAUUCUUCAGGCAUACAUCACAGUCAAUAAUGGUUCGUGCUGUGUGAUCGUUUAACUGUGCUUUGGCGGGCAUUCGUGUCUGCCGGGUGCGGAAUGGCAGGUAGCUUGUGCGGGCCUUGUGUUCGUAUCUUGCUUAUGUUGAUUUCGAUCUGCUAGCGAUCAUGUGCAAAUUUAACAGUAUCGGCCUUAUUGCUCUAAUGCGGCGU
rnacentral:rRNA from 1 species